rnacentral:rRNA from 1 species
CUCGGCGUAAAGAGUGGUUAGAAAGAAAUAAACUAAAGCCGAAUGCUCUCUAAGCUGUUAUACGCUCUCGAGAGUUAGAAGCCCUAUUACGAAAGUAGCUUUAUACUAUUGAACCCACGAAAGCUAAGGAACAAACUGGGAUUAGAUACCCCACUAUGCUUAGCCUUAAACUUAGAUAAUAACAUACCUAUAUUAUCCGCCCGGGAACUACGAGCAAUAGCUUAAAACCCAAAGGACUUGGCGGUGCUUAACACCCCCUAGAGGAGCCUGUUCUAGAACCGAUAACCCUCGUUUAACCUCACCCUUUCUUGUCCAUCCCGCCUAUAUACCGCCCUCGUCAGCUUACCCUGUGAAAGACUUUUUAGUAAGCAUAAUUAGUU